rnacentral:rRNA from 1 species
CAGCCGCCGCGGGAAUACGAAGGGGGCUAGCGUUGCUCGGAAUUACUGGGCGUAAAGGGAGCGUAGGCGGAUCGUUAAGUUGGGGGUGAAAGCCCGGGGCUCAACCUCGGAAUUGCCUUCAAUACUGGCGAUCUUGAGUAUGGAAGAGGUAUGUGGAACUCCGAGUGUAGAGGUGAAAUUCGUAGAUAUUCGGAAGAACACCAGUGGCGAAGGCGACAUACUGGUCCAUUACUGACGCUGAGGCUCGAAAGCGUGGGGAGCAAACAGGAUUAGAUACCCCGGUAGUCCCUGUCUCUUAUAC